UCUCCAACAUUAUUUUAAGUCAAACUGAUAUGACUAACUGUACUGUAUUUUAUCUUUUUACAGUCCGUCGCCAACCAGUGGAGGAGACACCUGUGCCAAUUAUUUAUGGGGGCCCCAGACAGGGGCAAGAUAGGUGGGCUGGCCCAGAAGCGGGCAGGCAGCAGCCCACUUAUACAAGAGAACAGUUGCAGCGUGCCAUCCAGCUCCUGCGGGUGGUGGUCCACCUCCUAGUGGACCACUUUUUUAAUUUGUUAUUGCGAUU